rnacentral:rRNA from 1 species
UACGGGAGGCAGCAGUGGGGAAUAUUGCACAAUGGGCGAAAGCCUGAUGCAGCGACGCCGCGUGAGUGAAGAAGUAUUUCGGUAUGUAAAGCUCUAUCAGCAGGGAAGAUAAUGACGGUACCUGACUAAGAAGCACCGGCUAAAUACGUGCCAGCAGCCGCGGUAAU